rnacentral:lncRNA from 1 species
GGGAAACCAACUUGGGGAUCAUAUUUCCCGCGCUCUCAUGGCGGCACCAUCUUUGUGUUUCUCAAGAAGUCUAUGUAUACCCGCGCGUCUCAUGGCCAGGGAGCUCACUCACCGUGGGCACCACCACCCUCGCCCGGCAAACCGAGCGUCGCUGCCAUGCAGUCGUCGGAGGUGGAGGAGAAUGCGGCCCCGCCGCGCAUGUACUUCAUCCCAUUCCCGACGCCGGGCCACGCGCUGCCGAUGUCCGACCUCGCGCGCCUCUUCGCGUCCCGCGGCGCCGACGCGANNN